GAAGUGCGAUAAGCAAUGCGAAUUGCAGAAUUCCGCGAAUCAUCAGAUCUUUGAACGCAAAUGGCGCUGGAGGGAUAUCCUUCCAGCAUGUCUGUUUCAGUGUCUGAGAGGUUUCACCUAGAUCUUAAUGUGAUUGAAGGGUUGCUUGUUUGGUGGUACUCUUUGUGGUACUACUACUACCAAGAAGCUCUUCUCUCAUGAAAGAUGCGUGAGUGGAUCUUUCGGUCCAAUGAAGUGGUCACAUCACUCGCAUGUGAUUUCAUUGGAGAAAUCACCGAAUUAUCCGUAUACUCACUGUAACCAAUGGUAAUAACAACAAAACAAAACCUUCUCCAUACCCUGCAUCUGAGAUAGGCAAGAUCACCCGCUGAACUUAA
rnacentral:misc_RNA from 1 species